UUUUACGGAGAGUUUGAUCCUGGCUCAGGACGAACGCUGGCGGCGUGCUUAACACAUGCAAGUCGAACGAUGAUGCCCAGCUUGCUGGGUGGAUUAGUGGCGAACGGGUGA
rnacentral:rRNA from 2 species